CAGACAGGGAAACUGCGUACGGCUCAUUACACCAGCCUUAAUUUACUUGACCUUGACCACCUACUUGGAUAACUGUGGUAAUUCUAGAGCUUAUACAUGCACCAAAGCUCCGAUCCUCGCGGAGAGGAGCGCAUUUGUUCGCCACAAAACCAAGCGCCCAUCUGGGCGUCCAGUGCUGAACCAGAACAACUCAGCUGAUCGCACGGUCUUGUACCGGCGACGUGUCUUUCAAGUGUCUGCCUUAUCAACUUUCGAUGGUAGUGUACCUGACUACCAUGGUUGUGACGGGUAACGGAGGAUAAGGGUUCGACUCCGGAGAAGGGGCCUGAGAAAUGGCCACUACGUCUAAGGAUGGCAGCAGGCGCGCAAAUUACCCACUCUCAACGCGAGGAGGUAGUGACGAGAAAUAACGAGACCGUUCUCAUACGAGGCCGGUUAUUGGAAUGGGUACAAUUUAAA
rnacentral:rRNA from 1 species